GAUGAGGACAAACCCGGAGAAGCUAUGCGAGCAGCUACAGGAAGGGACCAGGCUACAGAAGAACCUAGAACAAUGCUGCACACACCUCCUGUGUUUACUGUCCACAGACUCACUUUGGAGCCAUGGGAAAAGCUGUGAGAACCAACUGCCAUGUAGACCGUGCCCUAUGAACAACUCUCAACUGAAGAGCAAAGAGCUAGCUGCUUGGUCCGUGGAUGGCAGUUCCACAGGUGAGGGGACAGUCUAUCUGGAAGGCCAUCACUUGGACAGAAGAAGUUUUUACUGACUCAGGGCAGUGGCCAAUGGUCUGACCAUAUGGUCGGGCAGGAAGGCACACUGGAUAUGUUACCUAUUAAAAGGUUGCCCAUGUGGGGCACAGCCCUGUGGAAAUGAAUCUGAGGGGUGCAAUGAAGCAGGACAGGAUCCCAUCAGAACUUCUUCCAGGUUUGGAAGAUCACUUCAGCUUUCCAUUCCCCUGUUCGAUGUUGCAAACACAGACGUGGAAACAGGGAUGACUCCUAAGCAAGAAACUCUAGGUAUGGUUUCAAACCUGACCUUACAAAGUUCCUAAGGGCCUACGGGGCAGGAGGUGCCUGCACUCUCUGUGGCAAAACUGGGUGACAGGGAGUGUGGCUACACGUACCAGUGGUGGAGACAGCC